rnacentral:lncRNA from 1 species
AUUUUUUUGUCUACUUUUUUUUUCCCCCAGAAAGCUUUGAAUAACAUGAAGCUUUAAUAGCAGUAAGAUUACACAAGGAAAAUACCAUCAGUCACCUCAAUAUCAUGGGAUAUAGAAGGACUGCUCAAUAUCAUUGGAUAUAGAAGGACUGCUCAUGCUGAAGGAGGUGAACAUGGACAGGGCACCACGAUUUGUCCACUGUGCCAACCAUUCUCCUCUCUUCUCACGCCUUGUCUCCAGGCAUCUGACACCCAAACCUCAUGAGGUUCUGGCCGUGGAAGGAAAUCCUUUGGGAAGCAAUAGAAUGCAGUGACCUACUGUGUCCUUCAUACACUAAGGUCAGCCUACUUCCUGGCAGGAUCACCGUACUCCAGAAGAAAUGGGAUGUUAAAGGGGAGAAAAAGCACCAAACAGGACAAUUUCAUCAGUCCUCAAUGAGCUCCCCACCAAAAAGGCCAGCAGCACCAGCUUUUCUGCUGUUUUGCCCCAAACUGUGCUUCCUCAUGGAUCUAUGGGAUUUCUGCUGCAAGCAAGACCCUAAUUAUACUACACUACACUGCCAUCAGCCCAGGGGUCAGUUUAAAAGGGUUUUGUUUUUGCGUUUUUUUUUCCUAAUGUAG